CUUCUCUUUGCCACUGCUCUAGCCAUGGGUUAGCUGGCUAGCCAUGUGUUGUCGAGGUUCCUGAAGGAAAUGGUUCAGGAGUAAUUUGGGAUGAACAAGGACAUAUAGUUACAAACUAUCAUGUUGUUGGCAACGCUCUUUCAAGAAAUCCUGCCCCUGGUCAAGUUGUUGCCCGAGUCAAUAUUCUUGCGUCUGAUGGGGUGCAAAAGAACUUUGAGGGCAAGCUAAUUGGUGCAGACCGUGACAAAGA